ensembl:lncRNA
AUUCCUUGCAGGGUUUUUACUCUACUGAAAAUAAUAAAUAUUAAAAGUUUCAACUGAAGUUGGUUGACUCAGCAGGUCCUGUGCUGCCCAGAGUACAGGGAAGAUACAAAAUGCUGUUAGCCAUGGUGUAUACUGGAUAAAAGAUCUGAAACCUCAUGGAUGUUUCAUAAGCCUUUGGUUGCAUGAAUGACUCAUUAAAAACAAUUGGAAGACAAGUCCAUAGACACCACUGUCCAGACGUCUUGUACAUAUAGCCUAGUAAGUGCUUCCAAUCUAUCUUGGAGUUCCUUAUAGCAGAUGGCUGGAUGGCAUCACCCACUCCAUGGACAUGAGUUUGAAUGAACUCCAGAAGUUGGU